UGGGGAAUAUUGCACAAUGGGCGCAAGCCUGGUGCAGCCAUGCCGCGUGUAUGAAGAAGGCCUUCGGGUUGUAAAGUACUUUCAGCGGGGAGGAAGGCGAUAAGGUUAAUAACCUUGUCGAUUGACGUUACCCGCAGAAGAAGCACCGGCUAACUCCGUGCCAGCAGCCGCGGUAAUACGGAGGGUGCAAGCGUUAAUCGGAAUUACUGGGCGUAAAGCGCACGCAGGCGGUCUGUCAAGUCGGAUGUGAAAUCCCCGGGCUCAACCUGGGAACUGCAUUCGAAACUGGCAGGCUAGAGUCUUGUAGAGGGGGGUAGAAUUCCAGGUGUAGCGGUGAAAUGCGUAGAGAUCUGGAGGAAUACCGGUGGCGAAGGCGGCCCCCUGGACAAAGACUGACGCUCAGGUGCGAAAGCGUGGGGAGCAAACA
rnacentral:rRNA from 1 species